AGACAUGAGUAACGAUAAGGGUGGUGAAAUCCCACCCCGCCGUAAACCCAAGGUUUCCUGGGCCACGCCAUUCGUCCCAGGGUUAGUCGGGACCUAAGCCGAGGCAGAUAUGCGUAGGCGAUGGACAGCUGAUUAAUAUUUCAGCGCCGCCGACAUUUAAGCGAGAGGGACGGCGUUGGGGAGGGGGCCUGCCGACUGAUAGUGGCAGGGGCGCAAGCUGACGCUGCGGCUACGGCCAAAGCGGAUCUCUUAAACUGACGUCCAAGAAAAGCUCUCGUGUAUACUAAGGCGCCCGUACCGCAAACCGACACAGGUGGGUGAGUAGAAUAUACUAAGGCGCAAGAGUGAACCCUCGUUAAGGAACUCGGCAAUCUAGCCCCGUAACUUCGGAAGAAGGGGUGCCUGUCGCAAGACAGGUCGCAGUGAAUGGGUCCAACCGACUGUUUAUCAAAAACACAGCAUUGUGCCAAGACGCAAGUCGACGUAUACGAUGUGACACGUGACCAAUGCGGAAAGAUUAAGGCAAGGGGUUAGCCGCAAGGCGAAGCUCUGAACCUAAGUCCCCGUGAAUGUCGGCCGUAACGAUAACGGUCCUAAGGUAGCGAAAUUCCUUGUCGGGUAAGUUCCGACCUGCACGAAUCGUGUAACGAGUUGGACGCUGUCUCAACGAGGCGCUCAGUGAAAUUGUAAUGGCGGUGGAGAUGCCGCCUACCCGUGGAAGGACGGAAAGACCCUAUGCACCUUAACUGUACUCUGUCACUGUUGUUUCGGUUUUUAUGCUCAGCGUAAGUGGGAGACUGAGAAGCUGCCCUCUAGGGGGUAGCUGAGUCGUCAAUGAGACACCACCCUUGAGGAUUGAGACAUCUAACAUCGACCCGUGAAUCCGGGCGAAGGACCAUGGCAGACGGUCAGUUUUACUGGGGCGGUAUCCUCCCAAAGAGUAACGGAGGAGCACGAUGGUUGGCUCAACCUGGUUGGCAAUCAGGUGUUGAGUGCAUUGGCAUAAGCCAGCCUAACUGUGAGGCCCACAAGCCGAGCAGAUACGAAAGUAGGUCAAAGUGAUCCGGCGCUUGAAGAUGGAAUCGGCGUCGCUCAACGGACAAAAGGUACGCUAGGGAUAACAGGCUGAUUUUUCCCAAGAGUUCAUAUCGACGGAAAAGUUUGGCACCUCGAUGUCGGCUCGUCGCAUCCUGGGGCUGGAGAAGGUCCCAAGGGUCCGGCUGUUCGCCGGUUAAAGCGGCACGCGAGCUGGGUUCAGAACGUCGCGAGACAGUUCGGUCCUCUAUCCUCCAUGGGCGCAGGUGAAUUGAGGGAUUCAAACUCUAGUACGAGAGGACCGAGUUUGACGCACCUCUGGUGUUCCUGCUGUUGUGUCAACAGCAUCGCAGGGCAGCUAUGUGCGGAAGGGAUAAGCGCUGAAAGCAUCUAAGCGCCAAGCCCCUCCCAAGAUAAGUUCACCCUGAAGGAGCGUGGAAGACUACCACGUUGAUAGGCUGCGGGUGUAAGUGCAGUAAUGCAUUCAGCUUAGCAGUACUAAUCCUCCGUUCGGCUAAA
rnacentral:rRNA from 1 species